rnacentral:rRNA from 1 species
GGCCAGACUCCUACGGGAGGCAGCAGUGGGGAAUAUUGCACAAUGGGGGAAACCCUGAUGCAGCGACGCCGCGUGAGUGAAGAAGUAUUUCGGUAUGUAAAGCUCUAUCAGCAGGAAAGAAAAUGACGGUACCUGACUAAGAAGCCCCGGCUAACUACGUGCCAGCAGCCGCGGUAAUACGUAGGGGGCAAGCGUUAUCCGGAUUUACUGGGUGUAAAGGGAGCGUAGACGGUGAAGCAAGUCUGAAGUGAAAGGCGGGGGCUCAACCCCCGGACUGCUUUGGAAACUGUUUGACUGGAGUGCAGGAGGGGCAGGCGGAAUUCCUGGGGUAGCGGUGAAAUGCGUAGAUAUCAGGAGGAACACCGGUGGCGAAGGCGGCCUGCUGGACUGCGACUGACGUUGAGGCCCGAAAGCGUGGGGAGCAAACAGGAUUAGAUACCCCGGUAA